rnacentral:rRNA from 1 species
CCUACGGGGUGCAGCAGUGAGGAAUAUUGGUCAAUGGCCGGAAGGCUGAACCAGCCAUGCCGCGUGAAGGUCAGUGCCCUAUGGGCGUUAAACUUCUUUUGUGCGGGAGCAAUAAUGGUCACGUGUGGCCAGACGAGAGUACCGUACGAAUAAGCAUCGGCUAACUCCGUGCCAGCAGCCGCGGUAAUACGGGGGAUGCAAGCGUUAUCCGGAUUUAUUGGGUUUAAAGGGUGCGUAGGCUGUGAGGUAAGUCAGCGGUGAAAUGCCCCCGCUCAACGGGGUGAAGUGCCAUUGAUACUGGCUUGCUGGAAUGCGGAUGCCGUGGGAGGAAUGUGUGGUGUAGCGGUGGAAUGCAUAGAUAUCACACAGAACACCGAUUGCGAAGGCAUCUCACGAAUCCGCGAUUGACGCUGAUGCACGAAAGCGUGGGUAUCAAACAGGAUUAGAUACCCGGGUAGUC